CUCAGCCUCCGGAGUAGCUGGGACUUCAGGCGCCCGCCACCACGCCCGGCUAUUUUUUUUUUUUUUUUUCGUAUUUUUAGUAGAGACAGGGUUUCACUGUGUUAGCCAGGAUGGUCUUGAUGUCCUGACCUCGUGAUCUGCCCGCCUUGGCCUCCCAAAGUACUGGGAUUACAGGCGUGAGCCACCGUGCCCGGCCAGUCACAUACUGGAUUCUUAUUAUUCUAACAGAAGUGAUGUGGACUUGGGAGGAAGCAAGGAAACAAUGAAAGAUUUUUAACUUAAUCAUCAUGUAAACUUAAAACAUAAUUUAGCUCAGCACCACUUGGAAAAAACAUUAUUUUUAGAGGCUUAAUACAUGUGAUGGAGGAGGAAGCUGAGGAAGAGAAAGAACAGGAGCACAAGAGGAUAAGGAAUGGAAGGAGGCUUUUCUGAAGACCAUUCAGGUGGGAUUCAAACUCAGGGUUUUGCAGCUUUGACACUGAAGCCUGUGCUUUUUCCAAAGACACAUGCAUAAUAAAAACAGGAAGAAGCCUGCAGCCUGGGACUACUGGACACUGUGGCUUUCCCACUCCCAGUAGGGAACGAAAGGGAAGAAACUUCUGAAGGAGACAUUGCAGGAGCAGCCACAUAGAGAACAGGCUCUUCUAUAGCAACUCACACUGGAUCCCCUGCUUACUAUAAAGGAGCCAUUGACAUCAGCAUGGUUUUCAAAACAAGCUAUUGACUUAAUGUCAUGUAGUCUAAAACCAUCACCUCGACUUCUGUCAUCUGAAUCCACACAAAGGAUGGUUCUUAUUUCAAACUUGAAAUCAGAAUUCCUUUAAGGAUGUUGAGAUUUGAAUCACUUGUAUCUGGAAAAAAAGAAAAAAAAAAGGUCUCUCAAGGCCUCUCCUGGAAUGUAAUAUAGUCACAAACAUCCACUUUUGUUUUGUUGAUAUUCUUUCCUUCUGUAAAAACUAAAGAGAGCAUUCUUUAGAUCCCAGGAGUAGCUGUCCUUUUAGAGAAAGAGACAUAGAAAUUUGACACUUUGUGGAUUAAGGUUGGAAACACUGUAGAGUAGUUAAAAAUAGGCAGUGCUCACUUUCCUCUGAGAAGCACCUGCGUGUCAACAGAAUUCUUUAUUUGAUUUUUGUGUAUGGUACUUGAAGCUCUGAGGUGCGCUUAUUUAAAAAGCACCCCAAAUUGAUUUUAACUGAAUUUCAAAGAUCACCAGGCCACUUAAGUGAAAGGCAACUCUAAUCUCCAUAUAUGUUUCCUCAAUCUAUUCAUCAUAUUAAUUAAUUCAACAAAUAUUUACUUCACACCUAUUGUGUACCAUACACCAGGCUUGGUAAUAAGGUUGUAGAAAUGUACACAGCAUAUAAGGUUUCACAGCCUAGUGGAGGAGGUGAGGAAUUAAAAAGGGAAUCACACACACUGUGGUCCCUGCUGCAAUAGCAUUAUGCCUAGGCUGCUAGGCACAGAGGAUUGAUGCCUAGUCUAGUGAAGGAUGGCAGGGUAACAAAGGUCAGAGAAGGGUCAAGGACAAUUUCCCUAAGUAGGUGAAAUCUAACUCAGGUUUUGAAUGAUGAGCUGACAAGACGUAAGAGCGUGAAAGUGUUCCAGAUAAAGAUGUUAUCAAAUUUAAAAGCAUAAGGUAAGAUAAAGAGAAUAGACUCUGAAACUAGAUUCGCCCAGUUUGAAUUCUGGAUUGUUGCUUACUAGCUGUGUGACUUCAAACAAGUUAUGUACCACCACUUGCCCUCAGUUUUCUCAUCUGCAAAAUAGGGGUAAUAAUAUUACCUAUUGCAAAGGGUUAUUAUUAUGAAAAUAAAAUAAUAUGCAUAAAGCACCUGGAGAAGUCUAAGCAUCAUACAAUGAUUUGCUUGUAUUUUUCACAUGUGAAUGAUCAAUUAGGGUACAUUUGGGUUACUACAAAUAUCUACAUGUGAGGCAGAGAAUUGGGUGCAAUGAAGUUAGAAGUGGUAGGCAGGAGUAAAUCUCAUCCAGAAAGAUAUAUGCCAGAUUGAAGUCUUGCAUUUGUUUAUUCUUUCAUCUUUUUUUUUCUUUCUAAUACAUUUAUAUCAAAUUGAUAAAAUGAAAGAGAUAUUACAGGUUAAAAUAUACAAUUAUUCUCCCUGGUGAGCUCCAUAACUAACUUCCUAGAGAGACACUCUUACUUAGUGCAAAGCUGAUACAUUGACACCCUGUGUUGUCAAACAUUAUAUUCCUAGGGCUAAACAUAAGUUAGGAAGAAGAUAAAUGAAUGUCUCUCGGUUUGAAAAUGGUUUCUAUCCAGAAAUGCAGAGUCCAGGGGGUGGUCUUGCUGUUUCCUUAAAGCAUAAUAAUUUUUGCCUCAUGUGUUGUUUCCCAAAGUUAGCUGAGUAAUUAUCUUGAACAAUCCAUGAGAGGCUAGUAAUUGAGGAAUAAUCACUUUCUUUUCCUAUUCCUUUUUAGCCCAAUACAAAAUGAUAGGUACUGUUUCCCAAUCCCUCUCACAUUUUUAUCAGUUUUGUUAAAAUCACUGUUUCUGAAUGGUACUUUAAUUGCUGCGUUCCCUGCUCUGCCAGUCCAUCCCAUUAUUCCCUCCAGCCCAUACAUUUUCUAAAGAGGUCCCAUCUGGAGGAGCAGAUGAAGAUGGUUGAUGUCCAGUGGAACUACCUACACCGGACUAGUAUUUUUUAAUAUGCCUUACUCUCCUUUUGUGGCUAAGGACCCAAGUUCAAAUUUUGCUUUGGGUGUGAAAACCAGGAUAAUGUGAAUGAAGUAUUUUAUUUAACUUAAAAUUGAGUAAUCAUCCCAAAAUAGGCUAAAUAGAUAUCUGUGUUGCUAACCAGUCAAAACUUCUGCUUCCACUACUAGAAAAUCAAAAAAAGUGGUUUAAGAUUUUACAAAAUCACUGAGUAAAAGCUUACUUUUCUCUUAGGCCAGUCUACCUCUAGGUGGAAUUCUUAUAGGGACUCCAGGGCCUCAUUUUUUGCUUAUUUGUACUAGAUUAACCUUUUUAACGUGUAAUGGGGCAUAACAUAAAGACUCUGCACACAGAAUCAGGUAGAGAUGAUUCCAAGUUAUGUAACUUCUCUAGCCACUGCUUCUUCAUCUGUAAGAUUGGGCUAAAAGUGCUUAUCUUCUAGGGUUGUUAGAAUUAUGUGAAAAGCCAUGUGAAAGCAAGUAGUGUAUUAUAUACACAUGCUCAAUGGAAAUUAUUUGGUCCUCAAUGAAAUAUUGUGUUGAUGAGAAUAAAAUGCAUACGUAUAGACUUUUUUCAAAAUUUUCUCUUGUUAGGAAUAUUAAACUUUAAAAAGUAGGCCAUUUGUGUCUUGAAAUAUGUUACUACUACUAUUAAUAAAAAUAAUAAUAAUAAAAUAAUGCUAUGCAUUAAUAUUGUCCACCAGGUAACAAUAAUGUAGUUCUUUCUCAUUCUUUGUUAACCUGUGAUUUAAUAGGAUCAAGUGUCUUGCUUCUGGAAAAUGCAUUAUGAGCAAAAGUAAUGUGCAUUUUUAUGAGCUGGGGUACUUAAAUGUUGACUCAAGACACUUCAGAGUUCUCUUUUCUUUGGUACAUCAACCAUCAAGUUCCAAGACGGUGGUUGCUCUAUCAGCCAGAAUCCAUGAAUGACUCUGAUGAAUACAGCUCUUCUGCGAAUGGAAGUACAGCAUGAGGGAGAAAUGAACCUUUCUUAUUUAAAUGCUCGAGAUAUUGGGGAUAGUUAUUACAUACCUUAAUGUAGCCUAUCAUGACUGAUAUGAUUACAAUAACAAUACAAACAGCAAUAGCUGCAGCAUGUAUGAAACACUUAUGUGUCACUUUGUGUUGAUGCUUCUAAUCCCCUUAAUAAAUCUAUGAUUUUGAUAAAUU
rnacentral:lncRNA from 10 species